rnacentral:tRNA from 1 species
UCCCUGGAGGACUAGUGGGAAGGCCACAGCACUCUCAUCGCUGUGGCCCAGGUUCAAUUCCCAGCCAGGGAA